rnacentral:rRNA from 1 species
CGGGUGACAGGGAGACAGGUGGUGCAUGGUUGUCGUCAGCUCGUGUCGUGAGAUGUUGGGUUAAGUCCCGCAACGAGCGCAACCCCUACGUUUAGUUUGCUAACGCGUGAAGGCGAGCACUCUAGACGAACUGCCGUUGACAAAACGGAGGAAGGUGGGAUGACGUCAAAUCAUCAUGCCCCUUAUGUUCUGGGCUACACACGUGCUACAAUGGCCGGUACAGACGGACGCAAAGCCGCGAGGUGGAGCAAAUCCUAAAAAGCCGGUCUCAGUUCGGAUUGCAGGCUGCAAUUCGCCUGCAUGAAGUCGGAAUCGCUAGUAAUCGCAGGUCAGCAUACUGCGGUGAAUACGUUCCCGGGCCUU